rnacentral:rRNA from 1 species
UACGUAGGGUGUAAGCGUUAAUCGGAAUUACUGGGCGUAAAGCGUGCGCAGGCGGUUUUGUAAGUCUGUCGUGAAAUCCCCGGGCUCAACCUGGGAAUUGCGAUGGAGACUGCAAGGCUAGAAUCUGGCAGAGGGGGGUAGAAUUCCACGUGUAGCAGUGAAAUGCGUAGAGAUGUGGAGGAACACCGAUGGCGAAGGCAGCCCCCUGGGUCAAGAUUGACGCUCAUGCACGAAAGCGUGGGGAGCAAACAGG